rnacentral:rRNA from 1 species
AGUGAACGCUGGCGGUAGGCCUAACACAUGCAAGUCGAACGGCAGCACAGUAAGAGCUUGCUCUUACGGGUGGCGAGUGGCGGACGGGUGAGGAAUACAUCGGAAUCUACUUUUUCGUGGGGGAUAACGUAGGGAAACUUACGCUACUACCGCAUACGACCUACGGGUGAAAGCAGUGGAUCUUCGGACCUUUCGCGAUUGAAUGAGCCGAUGUCGGAUUAGCUAGUUGGCAGGGUAAAGGCCCACCAAGGCGACGAUCCGUAGCUGGUCCGAGAGGAUGACCGGCCAAACUGGAACUGAGACACGGUCCAGACUCCUAGGGGAGGCAGCAGUGGGGAAUAUUGGACAAGGGGCGCAACCCGAAUGCAGAAAUACGGCGUGGGUGAAGAAGGCCUUCGGGUUGUAAAGCCUUUUUGUUGGGAAAGAAAAGCAGCAGGUUAAUACCCCGCUGUUCGGACGGGACCCAAAGAAUAAGCACCGGCAAACUUCGU